rnacentral:rRNA from 1 species
GACGAACGCUGGCGGCGUGCUUAACACAUGCAAGUCGAGCGGUAAGGCCCUUUCGGGGGUACGACGAGCGGCGAACGGGUGAGUAACACGUGGGUGACCUGCCUUUAGUCUCUGGGAGUAAGCCUGGGAAACCGGGGUCUAAUACCGGAUAUGACUCCGCGGCGCAUGUUGUGGGGUGGAAAGCCUGUGCGGCUGGAGAUGGGCCCGCGGCCUAUCAGCUUGUUGGUGGGGUGAUGGCCUACCAAGGCGACGACGGGUAGCCGGCCUGAGAGGGCGACCGGCCACACUGGGACUGAGACACGGCCCAGACUCCUACGGGAGGCAGCAGUGGGGAAUCUUGCGCAAUGGGCGAAAGCCUGACGCAGCGACGCCGCGUGAGGGAUGACGGCC